rnacentral:rRNA from 1 species
UACAGAGGGUGCGAGCGUUGUUCGGAAUUAUUGGGCGUAAAGGGCGCGUAGGCGGUGCGGUAAGUCACCUGUGAAAUCUCCUGGCUCAACUGGGAGCUUGCAGGCGAAACUGCCGUGCUGGGGUGUGGGAGAGGUGCGUGGAAUUCCUGGUGUAGCGGUGAAAUGCGCAGAUAUCAGGAGGAACACCAAUGGCGAAGGCAGCUCGCUGGGACGGUACUGACGCUGAGACGCAAAAGCGUGGGGAGCAAACAGG